rnacentral:rRNA from 1 species
UACAGAGGUGGCAAGCGUUGUUCGGAAUUACUGGGCGUAAAGGGCGCGUAGGCGGCCUUCUAAGUCAGACGUGGAAUCCCCCGGCUUAACCUGGGAACUGCGUCUGAUACUGGGAGGCUAGAGUAUGGGAGAGGGAUGUAGAAUUCCAGGUGUAGCGGUGAAAUGCGUAGAUAUCUGGAGGAAUACCGGUGGCGAAGGCGGCAUCCUGGACCAUUACUGACGCUGAGGCGCGAAAGCUAGGGGAGCAAACGGG